rnacentral:rRNA from 1 species
UACGAACCGUCCAAACGUUAUUCGGAUUCAUUGGGCGUAAAGGGUGCGUAGGCGGCGCGGUAAGUCGGGUGUGAAAUCUCGGAGCUUAACUCCGAAACUGCAUUCGAUACUGCCGUGCUUGAGGACUGGAGAGGAGACUGGAAUUUACGGUGUAGCGGUGAAAUGCGUAGAUAUCGUAAGGAAGACCAGUGGCGAAGGCGGGUCUCUGGACAGUUCCUGACGCUGAGGCACGAAGGUCAGGGGAGCAAACGGG